rnacentral:rRNA from 1 species
GGGAGGCAGCAGUGGGGAAUCUUGCACAAUGGAGGCAACUCUGAUGCAGCGACGCCGCGUGAGCGAUGAAGCCCUUCGGGGUGUAAAGCUCUUUCGACGGGGACGAUAAUGACGGUACCNGNAGAAGAAGCUGCGGCUAACUACGUGCCAGCAGCCGCGGUAAUACGUAGGCAGCGAGCGUUGUUCGGAAUUACUGGGCGUAAAGAGUGUGUAGGCGGUGCUCUAAGUUCGGUGUGAAAUCUCCUGGCUUAACUGGGAGGGUGCGCCGGAAACUGGAAUGCUCGAGCGUGGGAGAGGWAAGCGGAAUUCCUGGUGUAGCGGUGAAAUGCGUAGAUAUCAGGAGGAACACCUGUGGUGUAGACAGCUUUCUGGACCAUUGCUGACGCUGAGACACGAAAGCGUGGGUAGCAAACAGGAUUAGAUACCCUGGUAGUCCACGCCCUAAACGAUGCAUACUUGGUGUCGGCCAUUCAGUUGGUCGGUGCCGGAGCUAACGCGUUAAG